AUGUCCUACGGGGCGCAGCAGUGGGGAAUAUUGCACAAUGGGGGAAACCCUGAUGCAGCGACGCCGCGUGAGUGAAGAAGUAAUUCGUUAUGUAAAGCUCUAUCAGCAGGGAAGAAAAUGACGGUACCUGAGUAAGAAGCCCCGGCUAACUACGUGCCAGCAGCCGCGGUAAUACGUAGGGGGCAAGCGUUAUCCGGAUUUAUUGGGUUUAAAGGGUGCGUAGGCGGACAGUCAAGUCAGCGGUAAAAAUGCGGUGCUCAACGCCGUACAGCCGUUGAAACUGGCAGUCUUGAGUGGGCGAGAAG
rnacentral:rRNA from 1 species